rnacentral:rRNA from 1 species
CGCGUAGGCGGAAUCUUAAGUUCAGGUGUGAAAAACUCUGGGCUCAACCUGGAGACUGCAUUUGAAACUGGGAUUCUUGAGGGCAGGAGAGGAAAGUGGAAUUCCUAGUGUAGCGGUGAAAUGCGUAGAUAUUAGGAGGAACCCCAGUGGCGAAGGCGACUUUCUGGACUGUACCUGACGCUGAGGCGCGAAAGCGUGGGGAGCAAACGGGAUUAGAUACCCCGGUAGUCCACGCUGUAAACGAUGGGGUACUAGGUGUAGGAGGUAUCGGACCCCUUCUGUGCCGCAGUUAACGCAAUAAGUACCCCGACCUGGGGAGUACGGCCGCAAGGUUGAA